rnacentral:rRNA from 1 species
AGAGUUUGAUCAUGGCUCAGAUUGAACGCUGGCGGCAUGCUUUACACAUGCAAGUCGAACGGAUUUUGGAGCUUGCUCCAGAGUUAGUGGCGAACGGGUGAGUAAUAUAUCGGAACGUACCCGGCAAUGGGGGAUAACGUAGCGAAAGUUACGCUAAUACCGCAUAUGCCCUGAGGGGGAAAGCAGGGGACCAGAAAUGGCCUUGCGUUGUCGGAGCGGCCGAUAUCGGAUUAGCUAGUUGGUGAGGUAAAGGCUCACCAAGGCGACGAUCCGUAGCAGGUCUGAGAGGAUGAUCUGCCACACUGGGACUGAGACACGGCCCAGACUCCUACGGGAGGCAGCAGUGGGGAAUUUUGGACAAUGGGCGAAAGCCUGAUCCAGCCAUGCCGCGUGAGUGAAGAAGGCCUUCGGGUUGUAAAGCUCUUUCAGGUGGAAAGAAAAGGUUACGGAUAAUACCUGUGACUGAUGACGGUACCAUCA